rnacentral:rRNA from 1 species
ACGGGAGGCAGCAGUGGGGAAUAUUUCACAAUGGAGGAAACUCUGAUGCAGCGACGCCGCGUGAGUGAUGAAGUAUCUCGGUAUGUAAAGCUCUAUCAGCAGGGAAGAUAAUGACGGUACCUGACUAAGAAGCACCGGCUAAAUACGUGCCAGCAGCCGCGGUAAUACGUAUGGUGCAAGCGUUAUCCGGAUUUACUGGGUGUAAAGGGAGCGUAGGUGGUCUGGCAAGCCAGAAGUGAAAACCCGGGGCUCAACCCUGUGGAUUGCUUUUGGAACUGUUGGACUAGAGUGCAGGAGGGGUAAGUGGAAUUCCCAGUGUAGCGGUGAAAUGCGUAGAUAUUGGGAGGAACACCAGUGGCGAAGGCGGCUUACUGGACUGUAACUGACACUGAGGCUCGAAAGCGUGGGGAGCAAACAGGAUUAGAUACCCUGGUA